CUUGCGGCGUGCCUAAUACAUGCAAGUCGAGCGGACUGAUGGGAGCUUGCUCCCUGAGGUUAGCGGCGGACGGGUGAGUAACACGUGGGCAACCUGCCUGUAAGACUGGGAUAACUCCGGGAAACCGGGGCUAAUACCGGAUAACCCGUUCCACCUCAUGGUGGAGCGGUAAAAGAUGGCCUUUGGCUAUCACUUACAGAUGGGCCCGCGGCGCAUUAGCUAGUUGGUAAGGUAACGGCUUACCAAGGCGACGAUGCGUAGCCGACCUGAGAGGGUGAUCGGCCACACUGGGACUGAGACACGGCCCAGACUCCUACGGGAGGCAGCAGUAGGGAAUCUUCCGCAAUGGACGAAAGUCUGACGGAGCAACGCCGCGUGAGUGAUGAAGGUUUUCGGAUCGUAAAGCUCUGUUGUUAGGGAAGAACAAGUGCCGUUUGAAUAAGGCGGCACCUUGACGGUACCUAACCAGAAAGCCACGGCUAACUACGUGCCACAGCCGCGGUAAUACGUAGGUGGCAAG
rnacentral:rRNA from 1 species